AAAAAUCCUAAGGGAGCUCAUGUCAAUAGAUAUAAACAAUUAACCAAAAUUUCUUGCAAGUUGGUGAAAGCAUUCUUGAUUAUUGUCCGAAAACUGGAAAAUCCCCCUUUUUUAAUGAAUAAAACCCCAUAACUCGGAAACGUAAUAUCUAAAAUUUAUAAAAAACGAAAGGGAGCUCACGUCAAUAGAUAUAAACAAUUCACCAAAGUUUUAAGCAAAUUGGUUAAAGCAUUUUUGAGUUAAUGUCCGACAUGUUAACGACGGACGGACGGACAGACGGACG